rnacentral:lncRNA from 1 species
AUUUUUCUCAUUUGAAAUUUCAUAAAUAAAAAAGAAAAUUUCUUCAAACAUUUUUUUGAGAGGAUUAAUAUUCAACAGCAUAGUGAAUUGCUCUCAGAGAAAACAAAAAUUUUAAGUUCAUUAGAACACAUUCAUUCUGUGUCAGAAACCUAUGCUGUGUCAACUAUUUAAUCACAAUCCAAAUUUAGAGCUGAAUCCAGCUUGAAUGUUGUGUCCAUACUUGCCCCAACCGUUCAGGGUUCAACCUCUGCGGUCGUAUAAAGCUACGCCCUGCGGAGCAUCUGGUUGUGAUUAUCAUGGCU